rnacentral:rRNA from 1 species
GAUGAACGCUGGCGGCGUGCUUAACACAUGCAAGUCGAACGGAAAGGCCCAAGCUUGCUUGGGUACUCGAGUGGCGAACGGGUGAGUAACACGUGGGUGAUCUGCCCUGCACUUCGGGAUAAGCCUGGGAAACUGGGUCUAAUACCGGAUAGGACGAUGUUUUGGAUGCCAUUGUGGAAAGUUUUUUCGGUGUGGGAUGAGCUCGCGGCCUAUCAGCUUGUUGGUGGGGUAAUGGCCUACCAAGGCGUCGACGGGUAGCCGGCCUGAGAGGGUGUACGGCCACAUUGGGACUGAGAUACGGCCCAGACUCCUACGGGAGGAAGCAGUGGGGAAAAUUGCACAAUGGGCGAAAGCCUGAUGCAGCGACGCCGCGUGGGGGAUGACGGCCUUCGGGUUGUAAACUCCUUUCGCUAGGGACGAAGCGUUUUGUGACGGUGCCUGGAGAAGAAGCACCGGCUAACUACGUG